GAUGAACGCUGGCGGCGUGCCUAAUACAUGCAAGUCGAGCGAACGGACGAGAAGCUUGCUUCUCUGAUGUUAGCGGCGGACGGGUGAGUAACACGUGGAUAACCUCCCUAUCAGACUGGGAUAACUUCGGGACACCGGAGCUAAUACCGGAUAAUAUUUUGCACCGCAUGGUUCAAAAGCGAAAGAUGGUCUUGCUGUCACUUCUAGAUGGAUCCGCGCUGCUUUAGCUAGUUGGUACGGUAACGGCUUACCACGGCAACGAUGCAUAGCCGACCUGGGAGAGGGAUCGGCCACGCUGGGACUGGGACACGGGCCAGACUGCGACGGGGAGCAGGAGUAGGGAAUCUUCGGCAGUGGGCGAAAGCCUGACGGAGCAACGCCGCGUGAGUUAUGAAGGUCUUCGGAUCGUAAAACUCUAUUAUUAGGGAAGAACAUAUGUGUAAGUAACUGUGCACAUCUUGACGGUACCUAAUCAGAAAGCCACGGCUAACUACGUG
rnacentral:rRNA from 1 species